rnacentral:rRNA from 1 species
AUUGAACGCUGGCGGCAGGCCUAACACAUGCAAGUCGAACGGUAACAGGAAGAAGCUUGCUUCUUUGCUGACGAGUGGCGGACGGGUGAGUAAUGUCUGGGAAACUGCCUGCUGGAGGGGGAUAACUACUGGAAACGGUAGCUAAUACCGCAUAACGUCGCCAGACCAAAGAGGGGGACCUUCGGGCCUCUUGCCAUCGGAUGUGCCCAGAUGGGAUUAGCUAGUAGGUGGGGUAACGGCUCACCUAGGCGACGAUCCCUAGCUGGUCUGAGAGGAUGACCAGCGACACUGGAACUGAGACACGGUCCAGACCCCUACGGGAGGCAGCAGUGGGGAAUAUUGCACAAUGGGCGCAAGCCUGAUGCAGCCAUGGCGCGUGUAUGAAGAAGGCCUUCGGGUUGUAAAGUACUUUCAGCGGGGAGGAAGGGAGUAAAGUUAAUACCUUUGCUGAUUGACGUUACCCGCAGAAGAAGCACCGGCUAACUCCGUG